rnacentral:lncRNA from 1 species
GGAUAUUCCAUACCAUAAGAUGUCACACAUAUGAUGCCACAGCAUUUUGAUAAUUUAUUGCACAUUUCAAAGUUUUUAAUUGGUGUUUCUACACUCCAAAGAUACAUCCAAGACUUGACAAGAUAAAGAUUCUUUUCUUGAAUCUUUGGAAUGAGUAUUUUGAAAAACAAAUUUUUUUACAUUCUAAACUCUCAAGGUGCAUGGAGACAUUGUUUCUUUCCUAUUUUAGUGAUAAUAUCAUAGUUGUAAGAAUACAAUCACUAAUUCUAUACUUAGUGUUAUUUUGUUGCAUACUUUUCUUUUUUUUUUUUUUUUUUAUAUAGUGUUGAGCGUUGCAUGAAACAAAAAAGGAAAUCAAGGAGUAGGACAAUGCAUCCAACCAAGCUGCAAUUUUACCUUUGAGAAGGCCACCAGAAUUAUGCAACAGGAAUGCCUUACCAUCUCAGCAGCACUAGUCCCAGAAAGCAAUAUACCCAAUACUCUGGCAUCCUCAGAUUAGAUGUAGGUGAACUGCCAUACUCCCAGGUGCGAUACAAAUGGUAUCCAAGUCAACAUUUCCAAGCCAAGGUGCAUUUCCAUUGUGUCAAAUGAAUGCAAACAAAAGGGUGAUGGAAGAUGAUGAACUAGGAGGGAACCACAGGUCAACACUUUUGCUGCCACGGGAAAAGGACCAGAAGGAUCAGCCUCUACAGUCACACUGAAGUUGUGGUCUACUCUUGGCAAAAGAAAAGCUGUUUCAGAACACAUCUCAAGAGUAUUUAAGGUCAGAGCAGUGCAAAAUACCCUUUUGCUUUUUUUGUGGGUGUUUUUUGUUGUUGUUGUUGUUGUUUUUUGUUUUUUUUUUUUUUUCCUCUCCAAUCUCUACCCACUCCUGAGAAUAAGUAGUUAAUAUUUUGUGUAUGCUUUCUGUUACAAAUGACUGUCUUCAACAUACAAGUCAUGACAAGUCUAGGGAGUUUCCCUCAUCUGAUCUCAAAAAGAAUGGUGUAGCAUGUUUUCAGCCAGUGGUGCAUCUCUGUUAAAGCCUUCAUAUGCUGUUGCAAGGCAGAUGAAACUUGAGUCAAUAUUUUUAUUUACUCAAUAGGAAGAUAGAAGCCUUCCUCAUUUAAGCUUCUUUUAUGGGCCUUGUUUUCUUGACAUCUGUUGCCAAUAAAUAUAUUCUGAGUAUGUUAAUUCUUAAUUUC